GUCCCCUUCGUCUAGCGGUUAGGACUCGGGAUUUUCAUUCCCGCAACAGGGGUUCGAUUCCCCUAGGGGACG
rnacentral:tRNA from 3 species